rnacentral:rRNA from 1 species
CAGGCCUAACACAUGCAAGUCGAACGGUGAAGCCCAGCUUGCUGGGUGGAUCAGUGGCGAACGGGUGAGUAACACGUGAGCAAUCUGCCCCUGACUCUGGGAUAAGCGCUGGAAACGGUGUCUAAUACUGGAUAUGAGCUGCGACCGCAUGGUCAGUAGUUGGAAAGAUUUUUCGGUCAGGGAUGAGCUCGCGGCCUAUCAGCUUGUUGGUGAGGUAAUGGCUCACCAAGGCGUCGACGGGUAGCCGGCCUGAGAGGGUGACCGGCCACACUGGGACUGAGACACGGCCCAGACUCCUACGGGAGGCAGCAGUGGGGAAUAUUGCACAAUGGGCGGAAGCCUGAUGCAGCAACGCCGCGUGAGGGAUGACGGCCUUCGGGUUGUAAACCUCUUUUAGCAGGGAAGAAGCGAAAGUGACGGUACCUGCAGAAAAAGCGCCGGCUAACUACGUGCCAGCAGCCGCGGUAAUACGUAGGGCGCGAGCGUUAUCCGGAAUCAUUGGGCGUAAAGAGCUCGUAGGCGGUUUGUCGCGUCUGCUGUGAAAUCCCGAGGCUCAACCUCGGGCCUGCAGUGGGUACGGGCAGACUAGAGUGCGGUAGGGGAGAUUGGAAUUCCUGGUGUAGCGGUGGAAUGCGCAGAUAUCAGGAGGAACACCGAUGGCGAAGGCAGAUCUCUGGGCCGUAACUGACGCUGAGGAGCGAAAGGGUGGGGAGCAAACAGGCUUAGAUACCCUGGUAGUCCACCCCGUAA